rnacentral:misc_RNA from 1 species
AUCCUCAUAGGUGAUUAAAUUCACAGCCAACCCAAGGUGUCCAAACCUUCCAGAACGUCCAACCCUGUGUAGAUAUGUCUCUGAAUUCUUGGGGAAAUCGAAGUUAAUAACAACGUUUACUGCUUGAAUGUCUAUCCCUCUUGUAAAUAGAUCAGUACAAACAAGAUUUCUACAUGCACCAUUUCGGAAGUCAUGAAAUACUCUGUUACGAUGAUCUUGCAGCAUCUUUGCAUGAAUAUAGAAACAAGAAUAACCAAGUUCUGUUAUUUUCUUGGCUAACAACUCAACUCGAUUUACCGAAUUGCAGAAGAUAAUUGAUUGGUUAAUUUGCAGCUUAGAGAAAAG